UGAGAAGAGGUUUGCAGACAUAUGGACAGGUCUGCGUGGGGAAGAGGUGGGGAAGACCUUUUAGGUGAGAAGUGCUUCCGGAAAACAAACAAGCUGCAGACAUCAAACGUCUGCGCGCGUCUGCGCGACGCAGACAUAAGUGGCCAGAAGCACUUCUGGCAAAAAAACAAACACCACCUAAAAUUGUUCCUAAUUUCCAGGCUUUUAGCUAAGAAAUAGCAUCCACUCUCGCCUAAUUUGUGAUGGUUUACGGUGGUUUCCUGAUCGUGGAGACUUUCUCCGUCUUUCUCUGCUACUGCAACCGUAUACUAUCUCCUUUAUAUUCCACAAAAAUUUCAGUAUUUCUAUCAAAACGCAUCUUCUCCACCACCACUCCCUCCUUCGUGACGGCAUGAUAGUGAUUCCAGAGAGAACAUAAAUGAUGACACAGACAUUGAUCGUCCAACUAAUAGUCGUUCUGAAUAGUACGAAUGACCUAAUCCUUCUUCUUCGGGGCCACCUUCAGAGUGAUAACAAGCGUCGUGGUAUAAGCCCUAGCCCUCCUCUACCUCCGUAUCUUGACCGUCAUGGUGGACACUCUUCAUCUCCUCAAUCGUGGCUACGAUGGUCGUGGCAGGCCUUGCUAAGGUUUCGGAUAUGGUGAUAAAAGUUCUAUUCAACUCAAAUUAUCUGAAUUCUGUAAUAUACCUUACAAAAUUCGUACUCAAUGAGCUUAAUAUUGAAGAGGGUUACCGCGGUGAAAACGGAGAUUUAUCAACAUGAGAAACAUGGAUGUAUUUAUAAUGGAAAGAAUUGAUGGAGAACAAAGAUUAUAGAAGAACUGAGAUGAAGAUGACGAUGUUGAAUUCAAAGCUUGAGUUGGUGAAAAGUGUCACGCUUCCAAACGUCUCAUUCAGGGGCAGUUUAGCUUGGGAGUCAUUCAGGUGCACUGUAUCUUUCCUAUUUGCCUUUGAUGCAAGUUUUAGGCUGUGAGUUGUUUAAUUUUAAUGAUACGUUCUCUUAUGACAUGAAUUUGGGUUGUUUUAGUAUCUAUUGUUGAGAAAUGUGAAUUUUAGUUUAAUCUCUGGUGAGUGAAGAGAAAGUAUCAUGUAUGUGAGAUGAGUUUGAUUAUUUGAAUGAUGAUCUGGCGUAUUGCUUUAUAUUGUUUUUGAGUUAAUGUGGUGUCUUUAUUAUUACAGAUUCAUAAGAGUAAAAAGGAAAAGGAGGUCUAUGAUGAAAUGAUAUACAAGAGUAGAUAUUUCAAGGUUCUUAUCAGUGAUCAUUGUUGAUAUAUUAGUAGGCAUGGAAGCUAGGCACAAGGAAGAAAAUGAUCACUAACUGAUCAAAAAAUUGGAUGAACAGUUCAUAGAAAAGAAGUAGAACCUGAUCAGGAAAAAGUUGAAGCUUGUGAUAUAUGUGCUCGCCCAUCAAAUAGACCAGAAACACAUGAAGAACUUGCAUAAGACGACAUAGAGCGAUUAGAACAUUUGGAGGCAAAGACGUUAAUGACAUUUCUGCAACUAACUUGGGUAGAUUCAUCUUGGUUAGAAAGAAUGGUAUUGGAAUUGAAAAUUAAAAAAGACAGUGAUUAACAAGUUUAUUGACUUUAGGUAUGUGAUAUCAUCCACUGGGCAGCCAUGGGAACUAUCUUCAUUAGUUUCUCUUGACACAACUGAAAGAAUGUCACCAUCUUAUAGGACAUAUGAAAGAGAAACUCAUUGAUGCGAUUCAUAUUGGUGACAUGAAAAUCCUCAAGAUCUUGCUUAAUCUCAGGAAUGACCCGCUGCGACUUGUGUAAGGUUUAGUUAAUUGCACAUUUGAUCACAUGGCUCGUACAUUCUUUCAUAAAUUGUUGGCGUACUUAUCUUCUGAAGAAGACAACGAUGAUGAUCUUAAUGUGGAUGUCGAAGGACAGUGUAUUCGCAAACGUCCUAAGUUUAUUCAACACGAUCAUAUUCAAGAAUGAGUUUUAGUGGUUUGAAAAGAAAAAAAAGAAAAAGUUAGAUGGUUACAACCUUUUCAAAAAUGGAUAUGGAAAAGAAGAAAAGGAGAAGCGUUCCCGAACACCCUCAAUAUACAUUAUCUUUGUUUGUUACGUUGUUAGCGUAAGCCGUCCAACGGACGGGUAUUAAACUAGUUAUAUAUUUGCUAUAGCCCAUUGUACUCAUCCUAAGAUAUCAUACAAUAUACAAGUUCAGUUGUUGUUGGGGACAUAGGGUCCACUCACUGAAUUUUGUUGUAGAGAGAGAACCAACAAAGACCUGUUGUAAGAAGUUCAUAUUGCUAUUCUGACUGACCCAGGUCAAGAUUAGAACUGGGCUGCAUGGAAUUGAGAAUGUAUGAUUUUCAUGUGA